rnacentral:lncRNA from 1 species
AUACGAGCUAUAUACAUCAUCCUGUUUAUAGUUCAACUUCAUGAAGAUCAUCCCCGUAGCUGCCACCAUUUGCUGACGAGUGUACUAAGGCAGGACUAGGAGGCAUGUACAGUGAGGGAGGCACUCCUAGCACCUCUCCUAGAGGUUUUUUUCAGUGUCACUGGGAGGACUAUAAGAAUCGGCGAUGCUGCCACUCCAUGAUGCUGUUCGUCGGGAAUAAGCAGGAAGGAAUUCAUUGUCAAUGCCAGGAGUUGCUGCCCUCCUCUUUGAGAGGUCAACCAUACUUGCAUUCUUUUGCAUGUUCAUAAAUGAUGAUGGGGCAGAGGACUGAACUGGGUCGCUGAACGAUGCUAAAUUACCAGGAGUGGUUUGUUCACUUCCAUCAACAGCAGAAUCCAGCGUCUGUAACUCUGUCCGGAAACUGGUGCAGGAACAAAAAUUUUUGGGCUAGCGUUGCUUUUGGCCUUAACUGAAGGCACAGAUGGUGACUGGAACAUGUUUGUUUGAUUUCCACCACCUUUGUUAAAGGUGUAAACAUACCUAAAAAACUCCAAAACCAUGAAAGUCAGAAGGUAAAUGGAAACUGAAAGAAAUAAAAAUUUCUGCUGCUUCAAGUUACUCUUUAGAAAAACUUUAAUGUAAUACUUUCAGGGGGGGUAAGCAUUUACCUACCUCAAACUAAUUUUUUAUUAAACAUGAAGCCAAAUGUCUUGCCAGAUAGUACAAUGCAAAAGUCUAACACAAGUUCUAGAUACAAUGCCAUCGUCUACCAGAUGUUCUAAAUACAGUCUGCAGACUGAAUAACUCCUUAACUAACAAUUGAUGUAUCAGCAAUUCACAACAAUCCACCAUAUUUGCCAGGACUAGUGAUUCCUUAAGCUCAUCAAAAAAACACCAUGUUAGGCUGUUCUAACUGUGUUUAAGUUACAUAAGAAUCACUUAAUGAUACAAAUACCUGACACUAAUCUCAUGCCUAUGAUCUGAUCACUAUGUUAGCCUCCUAGCCAGAGAAAACUCCGCAAGUACUUGUAUCCAGGACUUAUUUACGUCUCCUUAAAGAUAUUGCUAACUAUUUCAUAUUGUUAAUGAUACUAACUCAUCAAUCACGACAGCAAAUCCAUUAAGGUCAAAAGACUAAAAAUGCAGGUGACAAUACUGGACUUAAACCAUCCAGUCUUACAAAGUUAAGAACUAUAUUCAGGUCAAAGCCUACUUGAAAGAAAUAUCUUCUUUAACCGACUGUCUUCUGCUGCUCAACAGUAGCAUACUUAAUAGGAAAAUUUAAAGCAUAUAACAUACAUUUCAAUUGAACUUUGAGUUACCUUGAUCUAACUCCCAUCCGUCCGCGAGCUGAAAACUGGUUUGAGGUGGGUGGAAUUGGUGGAAUUCCUGAACUAUGUACCAAAGAAGUAGGGCCUCAUUGGUCUGGGCUUCCAUUACUGCGGGGUCCUUCAUUUUUCAAGGCACUAUUCAGGUUGUAAUCUGAUGUUCCAUUUGGGAAGGCUGCAGUGGUAGGUGGAGGUGGUAGUGCAGCUUCCUCUGCUGCCGUAAUUGCUACCAGAUGUCGAUGAUGCAGGAGGUGGUAGGGUUCCAACAACACGAGAAGCCGUGCUAUCAAAUAAAUUAAGCAAUUUACCUACUAACUUUGCAGGAGCCAAGUUUGUUGAGAAACCACCCUGCACAAAGAAAACCGCUUACUAAGAUAUGUAAAAGUAAACUACUGAUAAAAAAAUUGAGAAGACAGAGAGUUGCCUGUUGGUGAGUCUUUAUCCUCUCCUCAAGAGAUGAUGCCAACUGUCUCCACGUUUCCACUUCAGGUGCUCAACCAGUUUUCAGAGAUUUCAGUACUGCUUGACAGUACCUAAUAUAUAUAUAUAUAUAUAUAUAUAUAUAUAUAUAUAUAUGAGCUAGAAACCAAAGGAGACUUUAAAGAAUCUUUAAAAAAAAAUGAGAAUGUACUUCAAUGAAUCUGAUACUCUUCCCACUUCGGGCACCAUGUGUGCAUAUACAAGCUUAUAUGGUUGAAAUGGUAGCAGUGUGAAUUGGGAGUUCCCAAGCAACCUUGAGUAUUCAUAUAUCUCUGUCCUCUGUACAUGGAAACAGAGCUAGUAUGCUGUCCCUGAAACAGUGAUAAUCAUAUAUGAAUGAGUAAGCAACUCUUCCCUCGAAGAGAAAGAAACUAGAAUUUAUACAAACAUAUAUCAACAACCUGAAAUGUUUGCAUAUCAUUGCAAUGGGAUCUGAAAUUUGUAAAUUGGAUUCCCAUAGCAAUCUUUCACUGUAGUCAGUUCAUACAGUGGUUCCUUAUGGAUGUUCUCACACUUUGCUAUCUAAACCCUCAAUAUAUUGUCACACUUUGCUAUCUAAACCCUCAAUAUAGUUUUCUAACAUAUCCUUCAAUUUUUAUUGCAGAGGGAACCUACCAUGAUCCUUUAAAUUUAGUAGGACCAGUGUUCAAGAAAGCAGAAAAGGUGAAUCAGAUCUAAAAUGCUUCGAAUAUCCAGUUAUCGCUUCAUUGGACUGUUAAGCUGUUAAGAAACCUAUUAAGCUAAUUAAGCAGUCAAAAAAAUCUUAAGCAGCACCGACCGCUAUUUUUUUACAUCUGAAAUAUAAUAGCGAUAAAGAACUGUAAAUCGGAACGACCUACAUUUGUUAAGAAACUGUGUGUUCAGAUUGUUGUUAAUUACAAUUUGACUUUGCUCUUGCAUAGAUGGUAUUAUAUUUCAAAAAUUCCAAGUAUGUAGUGAUGAUCAGAUCAAAAAUCUGCUUAAGCACUCAAAGGCUCUCCGCUGCUUAGCUCUUUUUAGAGCAUUGAGUAUGACCAAGUCAAAUUCAAAGGCAAGUCAGAAAUCCUGAUGACAGAUGAUAUCAACUUACAGACGGGAAGAACCUAACAGAGGAAACUGCUGUAUACUAGUAAGAGAAAGGAAGAUAUACCGAGUCAGGGAACUGAAUGGAACCUUAAUAGCUUCUGGACUAGCAUAUGUUCAUGGGAAUUUGAAAUGGUCCGCACCAACUAUCCUAAAACCAUAAACAAAGUAAGACUAAUACUAAAAUAGCCUAGAUAACACCGUAUACAUAUAUGACUAAGAAGAGCUAUUGUGACUACAUCAAAGGAAUGUCUCAAACAGGCUUCCACAUACUUCUCCUGUCAAUUGUUAGCUUGAAUCACCCAGCUUGGGAGAACAAUCACAAAGUCAUCUGUAAUCCUCUAAAGAGAAAUUUCCUCCUCCAUCGAUAAUCUUUCUUUACAGCUUGCUUGCUUCAUCACCAAAUAAAAACUAUGGAUAGGUUGCAUUUGUUUAGUACUGAACUAAAGAUAUGCACUAUGCUGUCGAGAGUACUGGAUUUCAUGAUGAAUUUUGUUAGCAUGCUAAUAAUGAUCACUUGCAAUAUAUGCUAACCGUCACCACUAAUUAGCAGAAUAGUAGCGGUGGCAAAGCUGCAUUUUCCCAGCCACUUCAUGCUGUAAACUCCCCUUCAAAAUGUUGAACUGAAGCUUCCAUGAGGCAUUUGUCCCUGGAAUUUGGAGAGACUACUUUUCCAGUUUUCCUAGUGGUUCCAUGAAAGACCUUAUGUUUUUUGCAACUUCCUUAGACUGUGGAUACUUCUGUGGUUUAAAAAGUUUCGACAACCCGACAGGAUGCUGAUUUUUUAGGUUAACUUGUUCUGCAAAUCUUCCAUAUAUUUUUUCACACUCAGGGUAUGGCUUCACAUAUAAAUUGUGAAACUUUAAUCUAGUAAGCUUAAUUAAAGACUUCAAUCCCACCUCUUCACCAAGCCCGCCUAUUGAUCUCAAAUACUCAAUGACAUUGUGCCGUGGAACAAUCUGUUUCUCAAAACUAAUUCCCAGAUACUCUGGAACAUCCAGCAGCCACUGAACAUCAAGUUUCAUCUCAUUUAACAAAAAAUCAAUCUUCCUCUCAAUUUCCUUUAAAUCAUAUAAAAUCAUCCUUGGUUCCCUCCAAAUAAUACUUAAAGCCUCUCUGCGUAUCAAUCCAUAUUUGCAUAGGCAAUCAACCCUCAGUUUCACUUCAUACCCGGCCCUAAAAGUUCCUUCCUUCAAAAUCUCCUCUUUUACUGAAAGUCGACACUUUAAACUCCUCAGCAUCCUCAAACAUUGAGAAAGCUCUCCUACUUCUAACCCAAUAACUCUCGGGUCUCUCACAAUCCCUUUCUUAACCUCACCCCGACUAUAACCCAAAUCCCUAAAUUCACUCAUCAACGGUAUCAACCUAUUUUCCACCCCAAACGACAGAAACUCGGGAAACUUCCCUAAAACCCAAUCAAUACCCCUCCUCUCGAGUCCCAUUCUUUCCAAGAACCUAACUUUAUCCAAAAUGCUCUCCUCANAGUCCCAUUCUUUCCAAGAACCUAACUUUAUCCAAAAUGCUCUCCUCACCUGCCAUAAUCACCAUCGGAUUCACCUCCAAAACCUUCUCAACAGUAUCACUACCAAACCCGAAAUUCCUAAAACUUUCCACGCAACGAAAAAAAUCACAUGGGCUUAGCUCAAAUUUCCUAGAAAUCGCAACAACAUUCUUAACAGCCAAUGAAGAAAAAUCAAAAACCCCACUUUCCUUAAACCCCAUUUUCCAUCUCUCAAGAAACUCAAGUUCAAGAACAUUAGGACAACUAUAUACAACUGAAGCAACAAACUUGGGACAUGACUUCAAAGAUAACAAUAUUUUCAGUGACUUCUCAAUAUCAGAAGAGCUGUAAUUCAAUAAAAAAUGAUUCUUUUUCAGAAAAUCAGUGAGCUCAGAAGCUUGAAACCCAUACCUUUGAAACACAUGUAAAUGUGAUUUCUGUGAGAGUUGCUGAGAACUAUGAAUUGGGUCAUUGGAUUCGGUUGAAAACGAGACGGGUUUUGAGUUUGAGAGUAAAAAGAUUGAAUCUUGAGAUGAUACUAUUAAGCUGUACAAGAAUGAAUUGGGCUUCUUAAGAACACUUAUCGCCAUUAAUCAGAAAAUAGACAGGCACAAUAUGAAAAUUAUGGGUGUCUAUAUAUCUUUUUGGUGUUCGAUAGGAAUAGGAAAAUAAGAGAAGAGGGACUUGCAGCAAGUACAGGAGUGUCCCGGUGUCUAGUGAUUGCCUUGACACCAUUUUCUUCCGACUUCUUUGUUUUAUUUCGUAUUUUCGUAAGGGAAUUGACAAAUAAACUUCACAUUUUUCUAUUUAAGUUCCAAUUUCAAAUUUUAUAGCAUGUUUAUCAAUACAUUUUUCACAUUUUUCAAAAUUAAAUUGGAGUUUCAAUAAUAAAAUUUAGAGUUUAUUUAUCAAUUUCCUUUGUUAAUUGACUCAUGAAAUCAGAUUUUACUAAGAACAAAGAAAGCGGGAGGUUUUAGUAAAGUCACAUGUUUUAGAAAAGAAAACAACAAACAAAAAAAAGCAUUCAAAGAAGACAAUAUUUAGAAAGUAUCAAAAUUUGGUUGUUAUCAUAUAAAUUUUUAUUUAAUAAUAAGGAUUGUUAUGCUAUUUUGUUCAAAAAAAAAAAGAUUGUUAUACUACUAAAAAAAGAUUGUCAUAUUACUUUAUAACGUACCGAUUAUCCCACUAACGAACUACAUUACCAACAAAAGAUUUUGUUUUUGUUUUUAAAACUCAAACAAUUUAAUUUGCAAAACAACUAUAAAAUUUAUAUCAUUUCAAAAUUUCAAUAAAUAAGAAGUCUACAUUAAUAUUAUUAGACAAAUCAAGAUCAAUACAAAAUUUAAUUUAAUCAUUACUUUCAUAAUAUUUCGAUAAAAAAAUAAGAUGGAGUAACAAAAACACAAAUUUUGUGAGAAUGAAAUGAGUGUCUUUGAUAUCAUCAUCAAUUAAAAAAACACAACUCCAAAGAGGAUCAAGGUUCGAAGACAAAAACUUCACUUAAAAUUGUAGAGAAUAAUUGUUGAUGACUGAUGUAACUAUUAAUUCCACUUAAAACGAGGAAACAACUUAAACACAACAACCCAAUCUAUUGACAAACUGCCCUCACAUGGUCUCCACCUAUAACUCCAACAGCCACUGAGCCAUUUUUAUAAACUCCAUUGCAAUUAAACUUCUUCUUACUCAGAAGGGGAGGGAUAGAGGGAUCCACUAUAAUAAAGAAUCGACACUCAAGUUUCUAGACUCUAAACAUGAUGUUUAUAACAAAGAUACAAGUUUUGUCUAAACUUUCACACUAGUCUUGAUCAUCGAAACUGGACAAACUAGUCUUGAUCAUCGAAACUGGACAAACUAGAACAUGUUCUUAAACGAAUUUAUUUUUAGAUACUCACACAGACCAUUCCAUAAAAGCAAUUUUGAAAGAGAAUACAACACAUUCUUCUUGGACUCAAACAGAGAUAUCAUAUCAUAGAAGAUAACCACUAUAAUAGAAUUUGAAGGUAGGGAAGAUCGUAAAAGACUUAAGGGAGAUGAAAACCAAACAGGAUGUGUCCAAUCAGGCAAUCACACUCAAAGAGCAUGUACUCCACAUUUGCAUCCUUAUUUUUACAAAUUGAACAUAAACGAGGAGAAAUUUUCUUCUAAAAAGAUUUUCUUUUGUCGAACAAAUUCUCCACAAGAAAUAUUUCAGUUUUGGCGGAGCAAAGAUGGAUCAUAAAAACUUCCAAAAAGAUUUGUUUGGAUUCGAAAAAGAAAAAGCAUGCUGAGUAAAAGAUUCUUUAAGGUUUAGAGUAACAUAAUGACCAGAUUUGACAGUAUAGUUUCCAUUACAGGAAUCUGACUUCAUAAGAAACCAUGAUAUGCAUAUAUUUGCUUCUGAAAAAUCUUGCACCAAAUUAAUGUGUGAUCCAUACAUACUAAAUACUUGUAUGAGCAUCAUGAUUCACGAUCAGACUAAUGAUUCAAAGAACUAACUUAUAUCCCAUCUUUGCAAGGGCAUGAAAAUGAAAACAAAUUCUUCUUUGGCUAUGGCCUUGAGAAUUUGCUUUAGCUGAUACACAUCAAUCUCUCUGAGUACUAACGCAAACUUCUUCCAAUCAAGAAUGUCAUUCAACGGGGAGAUGAUAGUAAUCAGACAGUAUAACAGAAAAGAUAGAAGAUGAGACACAUUAAUUAGAACCAUGUUAAAAAAUGAUUAUAUGUAGUGAAUAAUAAUUCUCCACCUAGAUUAAGCAGAAGCAAUUUUUAAUCUCCCUAUUUGUUCAUUCCAAGCAGAAAUCUAAUAUAAAACGCAGCAAAUGAAGAAAACUCUAGGCAGCUACAUUAUUCCUCAAGUAUUUAUGCUGUACUCAUUCAAGAGAUCAUCCUCACUUUAAUAGAUGACAAAAUUGUGUACUGUACAGUGUACAGCAGUGGGCUAACACUCCUUUGCUUUAGUGUAUAACCAUCAGGCUCUGAGUGCCGAUGAUGCAAGUAUUUCGGCAAAUAACAAAACCUAAACACUAAACAUACAAGACGGAACUAAGUAAGCCGUGUGAAGUAUGUAUUGCACAAGGGUAAACAAAAACAAAAAUAUCUUUUCUUGUCUGCUCGUCUUCAUAGUUUCAGGUCUUUAUUACUAUCUGGGAUGUCAAGCUGGUAUCUUCAGAUUAAUUGCAUAGAGCAAUACGAGCUAUAUACAUCAUCCUGUUUAUAGUUCAACUUCAUGAAGAUCAUCCCCAUAGCUGCCACCAUUUGCUGACGAGUGUACUAAGGCAGGACUAGGAGGCAUGUACAGUGAGGGAGGCACUCCUAACACCUCUCCUAGAGGUUUUAUUUCAGUGGCACUGGGAGGACUAUAAGAAUCGGCAAUGCUGCCACUCCAUGAUGCUGUUCGUCGGGAAUAAGCAGGAAGGAAUUCAUUGUCAAUGCCAGGAGUUGUUGUCCUUCUCUUUGAGAGGUCAUCCAUACUUGCAUUCUUUUGCAUGUUCAUAGAUGAUGACGGGGCAAAGGACUGAACUGGGUCGCUGAAGGAUGCUAAAUUACCAGAAGUGGUUUGUUCACUUCCAUCCACAGCAGAAUCCAGUGUCUGUCCGGAUACUUGUG